rnacentral:tRNA from 1 species
GAGAUACUAGUAAAAUUAAUAUCACAUUGCCUUGUCAAGGCAAUAUUGUAGGUUGAAACCCUACGUAUCUUU